AUGAUUUGGAAGUUCUUAUUAUUCCUGUGGUUGGAUCUAUCGCGAAGGCAUCGUCUCCAUUAUCUUCUAAUGCGUAUCUUACCUAAGUAUUUACAACUCCUACAUUUAACUGAACGAUUUUAUUUGAUGGAGGAGAAGAAAUAUCAAGAUGGAAGAAAAAUAAUAUCUUUUCGGAAAACUAUCGAUUGUUCUUGCCCUGAUAGCACCGGCUCAAAAAAAAUGUCGAGAAAUAGAUAUGGAUUACAUUGUAAAUAAAUUGCACGAACUGGUAUCUGAUCCGGUAACUCAAAAUGAUGUAUCACGAAUCUCUGGACUGUUAUACGAUUAUCAGGAAUAUCUCAGCGAUAGCUUACAUGGUAAAACAUUUACCAAAGGUAAUCAAAGUAUUAGAUUUCUUAGCAACGAAUGCAAAAAGCGCUGAAGAUUAUCAUUCGCAUCUCGAUCGAAUGCUUGAGUUUUCUAAUCAUCCACCUCUUUUGGAAACAUCCUAUCAGAGUCUCGUUUGUUUAGACAUAAUGGAACAAUAUUUUACAUUAUUUGGCUAUCUAUUAACAAUCUUACCUAGCGAACAAGAGCUCCUUAAAGUGCACGAAGCCCUUCGUUCUUUAUUAAUCAGGACUGUGCCGGCUGAUUCUUCCGUAGUCAAGGCUGAACUUUGUCGUGCU